GACGAACGCUGGCGGCGUGCCUAAUACAUGCAAGUCGAGCGAAGUUUUUCUGGUGCUUGCACCGGAAAAACUUAGCGGCGAACGGGUGAGUAACACGUAAAGAACUUGCCUCAUAGACUGGGACAACUAUUGGAAACGAUAGCUAAUACCGGAUAACAGCAUUAACUGCAUGGUUGAUGUUUAAAAGUUGGUUUUGCUAACACUAUGAGAUGGCUUUGCGGUGCAUUAGCUAGUUGGUGGGGUAAAGGCCUACCAAGGCGACGAUGCAUAGCCGACCUGAGAGGGUGAUCGGCCACACUGGGACUGAGACACGGCCCAGACUCCUACGGGAGGCAGCAGUAGGGAAUCUUCCGCAAUGGGCGAAAGCCUGACGGAGCAACGCCGCGUGAGUGAAGAAGGAUUUCGGUUCGUAAAGCUCUGUUGUUAGGGAAGAAUGAUUGUGUAGUAACUAUACACAGUAGAGACGGUACCUAACCAGAAAGCCACGGCUAACUACGUG
rnacentral:rRNA from 1 species